rnacentral:rRNA from 2 species
GGAGCGGCCGAUAUCGGAUUAGCUAGUUGGUGGGGUAAAGGCUCACCAAGGCAACGAUCCGUAGCUGGUUUGAGAGGACGACCAGCCACACUGGGACUGAGACACGGCCCAGACUCCUACGGGAGGCAGCAGUGGGGAAUUUUGGACAAUGGGGGAAACCCUGAUCCAGCCAUCCCGCGUGUAUGAUGAAGGCCUUCGGGUUGUAAAGUACUUUUGGCAGAGAAGAAAAGGUAUCCCCUAAUACGGGAUACUGCUGACGGUAUCUGCAGAAUAAGCACCGGCUAACUACGUGCCAGCAGCCGCGGUAAUACGUAGGGUGCAAGCGUUAAUCGGAAUUACUGGCGUAAAGGUGUGUAGGCGGUUCGGAAAGAAAGAUGUGAAAUCCCAGGGCUCAACCUUGGAACUGCAUUUUUAACUGCCGAGCUAGAGUAUGUCAGAGGGGGGUAGAAUUCCACGUGAGCAGUGAAAUGCGUAGAUAUGUGGAGGAAUACCGAUGGCGAAGGCAGCCCCCUGGGAUAAUACUGACG